AUGCUUGCUUCGGCAGCACAUAUACUGAAAUUGGUAUGAUACAGAGAAGAUUAGCUGGCCCCUGAGCAAGGAUGACACGUAAAUUCAUGAAGUGUGCAAAAAAAAA
ensembl:snRNA U6 U6 spliceosomal RNA